rnacentral:lncRNA from 1 species
GAAAUCUACAUCCGCUUGGGGUUCGUAACAUUUUUCCAGUUCACGAAAUAAACUGUGGAUAUUUGGAAAUCUCCGGAGAACACAGCCAGAAUGAUGAAGAGGUACGUGCUGUCUGUUGCCUUGACUCUGUGUGUCAUUGGUGACUUCAUUCCGGGUAUCGGAAGAAAUAGAGUGAUGGCGGUUAUUCCGAAGCAAGGUAUUUCAGACAUCUCAGUCACAGACCUAAUAGCAGGCCACUUUGGUUCUCUCCUGCUGUCGAUGAAGUUUGCCUUCUGUCGGCGACAAAGAAAUCAGCCAUGCAUCGAUCGAGUUUGUUCCUUGAUAUCAGAAAAGUCACUAAAUAUGUCGAGACGAUAACUACACACGAGUGAGUGAGUGAGUGAGUAGCGGUUUAUGACGUUAGUGACAAAAUACCCUGUAUAGGAAUGUAAUUGUUUGGUAGCCACACCCGCGUUUUUCCUAGGAUCAUGCAUUAAACAAUGUAGAACCAUACUCCCUCACUCACUCAAAGGAUUCAUGUCAUUGGAUCCGUAGUUAACAUCAAUAAAACGAUACUAAUGUAUAUUCUAUGACGAACUUUUUUUUAUCCCGAGGAAUAAUUUUGGCAUUGUGAAAUAAUAAAUGCAGUUUCUAAUCUGGGGCUAGAAAGGGACGGAAUCACGCCCUUCCCUAAUCUGGGGCUAAAAAGAGACGGAAUCACGCCCUUUCCUAAUCUUGGGCUAGAAAGGGACGGAAUCACGCCCUUUCCUUAUCUGGGGCUAGAAAGGGACGGAAUCACGCCCUUUCCUAAUCUGGGGCUAGAAAGGGACGGAAUCACACCCUUUCUUAAUAUGGGGCUAGAAAGGGACGGAAUCACUCCCUUCCCUAAUCUGGGGCUAGAAAGGGACGGAAUCACGCCCUUCCCUAAUCUGGGGCUAGAAAGGGAAGGAAUCACGCCCUUUCCUAAUAUGGGACUAGAAAGGGACGGAAUCACGCCCUUUCUUAAUCUGGGGCUAGAAAGGGACGGAAUCACGCCCUUUCUUAAUCUGGGGCUA